rnacentral:lncRNA from 1 species
AUGAAGUUUAAUCCAUUAUUUUCCCCCAUCAGACUGAGCCAUCAGCCUCUGCAGCCCAGUUCCCUGGCUGGAGGGGGCCUGGACGCUGCCUGGGCCGCGGGGCCGGGCUCGGGGCAGGUGCCGCUGGAGCCGGGCAGGCAGGGGCAGCAGCAGCCGCGGCACCAGCGGCUCUUGCAGGUGAGCGCUCGGCCGCGCUGGUGCGGGGAUGUGGCGGUACAGGGGUGUGCGAGCACCUCUGUAGCCGUGAGGGUGUUGCACACUCGCUUGCACGUGUCUGUGAGUCUAAAGCUCCAGAGCCCCGCCUGCCUUACCUGCGUGCGGACAUCCAUUGCUCGCCUUUGGGGCCGCCAGAAGGGAGCUCUGGACAUACGUGUCAAUGCCACAUCCCUGGCUCCCGGCGGCCCGGGGCAGCGCGGGGCCUGUCCCUGUUGUGUCACCACCGCCUUCUCCCAGGUGCAGCAGCAGCAGCAGCAGCAGCAGCCGGGGCAGCAGAAGCAGCAGCAGCCGGGGCAGCAGCAGCCGGAGCAGCAGCAGCAGCCGGGGCAGCAGCAGCCGGGGCAGCAGCAGCAGCAUCCGGGGCAGCAGCAGCCGGAGCAGCAGCAGCAGCCGGGGCAGCAGCAUCCGGGGCAGCAGCAGCAGCAUCCGGGGCAGCAGCAUCCGGGGCAGCAGCAGCCGGGGCAGCAGCAGCCGGGGCAGCAGCAGCCGGGGCAGCAGCCGGGGCAGCAGCAGCCGGGGCAGCAGCAGCAGCAGCCGGGGCAGCAGCAGCCGGGGCAGCAGCAGCCGGGGCAGCAGCAGCAGCAGCCGGGGCAGCAGCAGCAGCAGCAGCAGCAGCAGCCGGGGCAGCAGCAGCCGGGGCAGCAGCAGCAGCAGCAGCAGCAGCAGCAGCAGCAGCAGCAGCAGCCGGGGCAGCAGCAGCAGCAGCAGCAGCAGCAGCAGCAGCAGCAGCAGCAGCAGCCGGCGCUCGGACUCCCGCCCGUGCGGCCGCAGGUGAGCAAAGGCGACCGGGCUGUGCUGGGGAGCGCUGAGGGGAGGGACGGGGGUGCUCUGUCCCCCGGGGACGAAGAAGUGACCCUUGGCCACGUGAGGUGCCGGUGGCUGGCACUGCUCCCCGUCACCGUCCUCGUGCUGUUGGGAGCACCCCUGCUGCCUGGCUGA